rnacentral:rRNA from 1 species
CAGGCUUAACACAUGCAAGUCGAGGGGCAGCAUGGUCUUUUCUUGCUAAGGCCGAUGGCGACCGGCGCACGGGUGAGUAACGCGUAUCCAACCUGCCUUACACUCUUGGACAGCCUUCUGAAAGGGAGAUUAAUACAAGAUGUUAUCAUGAGUAAGCAUUUUCGCAUGAUUAAAGGUUUACCGGUGUAAGAUGGGGAUGCGUUCCAUUAGAUAGUAGGCGGGGUAACGGCCCACCUAGUCUUCGAUGGAUAGGGGUUCUGAGAGGAAGGUCCCCCACAUUGGAACUGAGACACGGUCCAAACUCCUACGGGAGGCAGCAGUGAGGAAUAUUGGUCAAUGGACGAGAGUCUGAACCAGCCAAGUAGCGUGAAGGAUGAAGGUUCUAUGGAUUGUAAACUUCUUUUAUACGGGAAUAAACGAAUCCACGCGUGGAUUUUUGCAUGUACCGUAUGAAUAAGGAUCGGCUAACUCCGUGCCAGCAGCCGCGGUAAUACGGAGGAUCCGAGCGUUAUCCGGAUUUAUUGGGUUUAAAGGGAGCGUAGAUGGGUUGUUAAGUCAGUUGUGAAAGUUUGCGGCUCAACCGUAAAAUUGCAAUUGAUACUGGCAGUCUUGAGUACAGUUGAGGUAGGCGGAAUUCGUGGUGUAGCGGUGAAAUGCUUAGAUAUCACGAAGAACUCCGAUUGCGAAGGCAGCUUACUAACCUGUAACUGACAUUGAUGCUCGAAAGUGUGGGUAUCAAACAGGAUUAGAUACCCUGGUAGUCCACACGGUAAACGAUGAAUACUCGCUGUAGGCGAUAUACAGUCUGCGGCCAAGCGAAGGCAUUAAGUAUUCCACCUGGGGAGUACGCCGGCAACGGUGAAACUCAAAGGAAUUGACGGGGGCCCGCACAAGCGGAGGAACAUGUGGUUUAAUUCGAUGAUACGCGAGGAACCUUACCCGGGCUUAAAUUGCAACCGAAUAUGGCGGAAACGCUAUAGCUAGCAAUAGCGGUUGUGAAGGUGCUGCAUGGUUGUCGUCAGCUCGUGCCGUGAGGUGUCGGCUUAAGUGCCAUAACGAGCGCAACCCUUGCCGAUAGUUACUAACAGGUCAUGCUGAGGACUCUGUCGGGACUGCCAUCGUAAGAUGUGAGGAAGGUGGGGAUGACGUCAAAUCAGCACGGCCCUUACGUCCGGGGCUACACACGUGUUACAAUGGGGGGUACAGAGGGCUGCUACCACGCAAGUGGAUGCCAAUCCCAAAAACCUCUCUCAGUUCGGACUGAAGUCUGCAACCCGACUUCAUGAAGCUGGAUUCGCUAGUAAUCGCGCAUCAGCCACGGCGCGGUGAAUACGUUCCCGGGCCUUGUACACACCGCCCGUCAAGCCAUGGGAGCCGGGGGUACCUGAAGUGCGUAACCGCAAGGAGCGCCCUAGGGUAAAACUGGUGACUGG